rnacentral:lncRNA from 1 species
GGAAUACCAAUACCAGGGUCACCCCCAAAGCUGUCAAAACAGGCCAGCCCAGGGCACAUGACCAAAACUUCAGACAAAAAUGAGCCUUCAGAUAUAAAAGUUGUUCACCCUGAAACCUUCAUCUUCCCUCCUAAUCCACUUCAGCCACCUAUUGUUCCCAACCCACUUCAGCCACCUAUUGUCCCCAACCCACUUCAGCCACCUCCCCUUGUUCCCAACCCACUUCAGCCACCAACACCACCACUCAUUCCAAACCCACUUCAACCACCAACACCACCACUCAUUCCAAACCCACUUCAGCCUCCACCAUCAGGACCAUCACCAUUUUUUCCAUUCCCACCAGUACCAGGUUUUACUCCACCUUCACCACCACCAGUUUCUCCCUUUCCUUUCCUUCCAUUGUUCCCUCCUCCUGGCUCACCUCC